rnacentral:misc_RNA from 1 species
CGACAAUAAACAUUACAAUUUGAUAUUUUUUUCCCUUACAUAUUUUCUCUAGAACCAAAUUAAAAAAAUGCAAUGAAUGGGAAUCCCUCGAUGCCGCUGAACAGAACGUCUCCUUUCUGACGAAGUUCGUUUCGCCAUUAUCUCCAGAUUGGUGACUGUCGAUGUUGUCCAAACCCCAAAACACCCCUCUUUACUUCUUUCAUUCUCUGUAAACCUACAUAACUAGACUAACCUAUGGAUCUUCGUAAGAAGAAGCAGAAGAUGAAGUUGUUAUUGUCAGAGGAAAAAAAAAUUACAGUUAAGGCAUUGUUUUAUUUAUGUAUACUAAGCCAUAAUCCCAUAGGCAAUUAAG